CCGGCCGUUGGCUUUCGCUUAUGCAGUGAUCACUUCAUAUCAGGGAGAAAGAGUGAUAAUCCGUUGAGUCCGGAUUUUAUCCCCUCAAUUUUCGAUUACCUUCCAUCUCCAGAGAAGAGGAGACAUAAAACGAGACUGGAGGUUUUUAACAGAAGGCAGAAGGCUAAACUGCACAAAGUAGAGCAGGCAAAGAUAUCUGCAGAAGCCAUCCGUCAAAGGACAUCAACUGAUGCAGCCCCAGAAGACCAUAUCACAGAGCCUUUGAAGGAGCCCCCCAUCACAGAUCCGUUGGAAGACUCAGCCGAUGAUCCUGUCCAGCCUGAACCAGUAACACCACCAUGCACCUCUGAAACCUGCUGUACCCGCAUCCAGAGUCUUGAGCAAGAAUGCCAAGCUCUAAGGGCUGAAAAUGUGUUGUUAAGGGAAAAGAUUAAUAGGAAGACCCUGACAGAGAUUAGUUUAAAUAACAAUGAUAAAAAGGUGAAUGUCCUCACUGGGCUGGCAACCUAUGCAUGUCUCAUGACCAUUUUUCAAUAUCUGGCUCCAUUUCUCAAAGUUAAAUCAUCAAUAACAUGUUUUCAACAAUACAUGUUGACUUUGAUGAAGCUUCGAAUGAACUUAACAUUUGACUUUUUGGGUUUUUAUUUUGGCAUCGACCCAACUACUGUCUCCAGGCACUUCAAAAACUGUGUUAAUUUGAUGUAUUGUAGACUGGUGCCAAGCCUAGUGGUGUGGCCUGAAAGAGAAUCUUUAAGAACAUCUCUUCCAUAUGUAUUUAGAAAUGGUGACUACGAGAAGACUGUUUGUAUCAUUGAUUGCUUUGAAAUAUUUCUAGAGAAACCAAGUAGAUUGCGACCCAGUGCGCAGUGUUACUCAAGAUACAAAUCACAUCACACCAUGAAAUAUUUAAUUGCCAUUUGCCCUCAAGGUUCAAUUUGUUUCAUUUCUACUGGAUGGGGAGGUCGCACCAGUGAUAAGUUCAUUACAGAACACAGUACUUU